AGUCUCUUAUGUUUUGCAUCCUCCUUGUUUUUAUAUAAUUUUUGUUUCCCUUCUCUUAUAUUCAUCAGUUUUGUAUGUUACAUUCCUCAUAUGAGUGAAGUCAUAUGAUAUUUGUCAUUCUCUGACUGAUUAAUUUCGCUUAGCAUGACAACGUCUAG